AGUCUCGGGCCCGCUUAACUGCUGAAAGAGUAGGAAGGGGUCCGUUUCAUUAGCGCGUUCAACCAAAGAGCGCUGUUAGGUUUCCUGCACCACAAGGUUCCUUUCACUUAAAAAAAUUUUUUUUUAUAUUACACCAUCUUUAUUUGUACCUUACCGUCUAAGGCUAUCAAUCAAACUUCAGUAAGAACAGUUUCAGCAUCAACUAACGAACAGUAGCCAAACCAGAGAGCAGUCAAAAGUGUUUUAAAGGGAGCAGCAUCAGCUGAUGUUCUGCCAAGUCUCUGGGUGUUCAGGACCAUGGUCCCCCGGCACUUCCAGGCCCCUGUGGGCUGCAGGUGGAUCCCCAGGAGCCAAAGGGCCGCUCAGGAAAGGGUGGAACUUGGCCUCGCAAUCAGCUGGCUUCUGCCUAUUAUGGUCAUCUUCUUUCCAGAGGUCUUGCUAUCUCAGUGGACGUG
rnacentral:lncRNA from 1 species